GAUGAAGAACGUAGCGAAAUGCGAUAAGUAGUGUGAAUUGCAGAAUUCCGUGAAUCAUCGAAUCUUUGAACGCACAUUGCGCCUUCUGGUAUUCCGGAAGGCAUGCCUGUUCGAGAGUCAUUAACAACCGUUUCGAUCCCUUUCUUUCAGAAAUUACAAAGAGGAAAAGGGUUUGGUUAUGGUGGAGGAGGGAAGGGAGCGUUUAGCCUGUAAAAAAAGAGGCUGUGUUCCGCCUCCCCCCCAAAAUUGUACAGGCGGUCGUGUGCGCCCACGCAUCGAGGUGUUGUAAAAGCUGCCACGGCACUUUUCACCUGUGCAGUGCGAGAUUGGCCAGCCGGUUUAAAAACCCCUCCAAACAAUCAAAGGUUGACCUCGGAUCAGGUAGGGAUACCCGCUGAACUUAAGCAUAUCAAUAAGCGGAGGA
rnacentral:misc_RNA from 1 species